UUUGUGGCUGGAGUGAAGGGAGAAAAAAAGAUGCAGUGUGAGGCUAAGAAGGUAGCGUGGCUCCUCACUGAUUUUUAAUGCGAAUGAACAACUAUAGAAGGAUCUUAAGAGAAGAAAGGGAGUGACCUGAUGCAAUUUGUGCUUUUGAAAGAGCAAUCUGAAGGCAACACAAGGGCAAAACCACAGGCACCCAGAGGUCUCCCACUUCUCUGCAGGUUGUGUAACUCUCUGAUGCUGUUCCCAGCCUGUCUGGAAGAUUGUCAAACUCCACUUCAUACCAAGCAAUAUCCACAGAUUAAACUUUUCCAACAAUCUUUGGAAGUUGAAAGACUCCUGAUGGUAGAGUGACACAGUCGGCCCACAACAGAGAGACCCCUUUCUAGUGCCCGGGCUUUGGGCUUUGAUACAACCCUGUUUUGACAUUCCCAUGUCCGGCGGAAUGCGGCUUAUACACACCUUUGGAGGAAUUGCUGUUGCUGUCUUCAUUAAUUCACAUCUUACACCUCUUGCUGGAGGCUUAGGUGCCACUGUGCUAUUGGAAGCAAUAUUCACAUCUCCUUCCUAAGGCUUCAACACGUUAUGCAAAGAGAAGCAUUUACAACCAUACAUUCUCUGAAUGUGGCUGAAUUAUAUCAUAGAAUCCUUGAGAAUAUCUUAAAUAUUACAAUGACUGCUGAUGGCCCUGGAGCCCUGACACGGACGGCAUCGCCACUCAGGAUCAUCUAUCAGUCCUGCGAAGAGAACAACCCAGCAGUCUCUCUUUAUAAAGAAAUAGCUACCAUUCCAUUUUUGGCCCACAAUUCAUAA
rnacentral:lncRNA from 1 species